UACGUAGGGUGCAAGCGUUGUCCGGAAUUAUUGGGCGUAAAGAGCUCGUAGGCGGUCUGUCACGUCGGCUGUGAAAACCCGAGGCUCAACCUCGGCCUGCAGUCGAUACGGGCAGACUAGAGUUCGGUAGGGGAGACUGGAAUUCCUGGUGUAGCGGUGAAAUGCGCAGAUAUCAGGAGGAACACCGGUGGCGAAGGCGGU
rnacentral:rRNA from 1 species